GGGAUAGAAUUCCAGGAGUAGCGGUGAAAUGCGUAGAUAUCUGGAGGAAUACCAAAGGCGAAGGCAGUCCCCUGGUCCGAUACUGACACUGAGGUACGAAAGCGUGGGGAGCAAACAGGAUUAGAUACCCUGGUAGUCCGCGCCCUAAACGAUGUCGAUUAGCCAUUGGAAGGACCCCUUUUCCUUUCAGUGACGUAGCUAACGCGUUAAAUCGACCGCCUGGGAAGUACGACCGCAAGGUUAAAACUCAAAGGAAUUGACGGGGACCUGAACAAGCGGUGAAUGAUGUGGAUUAAUUCGAUGCUACGCGAAGAACCUUACCUACCUUUGACAUGGCCAAAGUUCUACCGAGAGGCGGAAGUACUCGUAAGAGGAUUGGCGCACAGGUGCUGCAUGGUUGUCGUCAGUUCGUGUCGUGAGAUGUUGGGUUCAGUCCCGCAACGAACGCAACCCUUAUCUUUAAUUGCUCCUAUUUUAACAGGCACUUUAAAGAAACUGCCAAUGAUAAGUUGGAGGAAGGUGGGGAUCACGUCAAGUCCGCAUGGCCUUUAUAGGUAGGGCUUCACACGUCAUACAAUGGUUAGAACAAAGAGCUGCAAAUUCGUAAGAAGGAGCCAAUCUCACAAACCUAACCUCAGUUCGAAUUGCGGUCUGCAACUCGAGCGCAUGAAGCCGGAAUCGCUAGUAAUCGUGGAUCAGAAUGCCACGGUGAAUACGUUCUUAGGUCUU
rnacentral:rRNA from 1 species